GAGAUCAUGACCUGAGCUGAAGUUGGACGCUCAACUAACUGAGCCACCCAGGUGCUCCUAUGCACACCCAUGAGAAGACUCUACCUGAAAACUAUAUUUACUGGUCUAGCAGUUGAAGAAGUCAGCUGGGUCCUCACGUAUUCCUUCUGCCAUUUCAGUGAGCAAAAAGGGAAAGGGGAAAAGGAAGCCCUGACAUUAAGUGAACGGCUGUAGAUGACGACUCAGCCAGCUGGAGGGCGCUAUCAGGAACCUGUACAGGGUGGGAACUGGAUAUAAAAUAGUCCUGGAAACAGAUUGUUUGGUCUGAGUAUAUCAUUGAAGUCCAUUUCAAAUCAGAUAUUUUCAGGGCAACUCCUCACUCCGCGCUCCCAGUUAUAAGUCUCCAGAGGGUCUGGGAGUUAGGGGGAAAGGACUGUUUUAAGACAUUCCACAAGUAAUCCUGCAAUGGCCAAGAGGAGAGACAAUUUCACACCUGCCUCUUCAAGUUGACUUUGGACUCCCAUACCUUUUUCCAUUUGGAAUCGCGUCAAUCAGUUUUACAGCUGAAGGCGGUGACGUGCUGACAGAAGGUGAAUGCUACGCGAUCUGCUUUAUGAUUACAUUUGCUGUUUACUGCUCUAAAAGUUUGGAGAAAUUAUUUUCUUUUCAAACUGGGAAUGAAAGCUUCAUAAAUAUUAAUCUCAGUUAAUAAUAUUGUGGGAACCCUGGAUGCCAGAGGUAAGUAGCACUCAGUUCAUGACAUCUUAGCUUGACAAGGGACCAGUUUUCUUAUUUGGGGAUGUGAGUCUGUCCUUGAUGUUUAUAAACUGGUUCUUGGAACUUCCUUUCUUCUCAUGACACCAUGAACCAAAAUGUAGUGAUUUGCCUUUUUCCAUCUCAUCCAUGAGAGGUGUUGUCUUUUUUUUUCUUUUUUUGGCCUUUUCUUUUCUUCCAAUAAUUUUCCUUCUGUUUGUUAAUUAUUUGGUUCCCACCUCUGUUUAUAGAUUAUAUUCCACCCACUUUAGAGUCCAUACUAUAAAAAUACCCAAAGUUUCAUUUUUGUGUCUGAAGGACACAGUGUUAAAUCUCCAAAUACAAAUAUAUAUUACCUGAGUAGCUAUUGUUACCUGACACCAUUGUCAGAACACAAUUCAUUUAUGUCUGUCCAAAUCAGCUUUCUUGAUGUUUUUAUAUCAUCACAGUUCUAAACAUAGAUAUAAAAUCUCUGUAU